UACGGGGGGAGCAAGCGUUGUUCGGAUUUACUGGGCGUAAAGGGCGCGUAGGCGGCACCGCAAGUCGACUGUGAAAUCUCCGGGCUUAACCCGGAAAGGUCAGCCGAUACUGCGGGGCUAGAGUGCAGAAGGGGCAACUGGAAUCUCGGUGUAGCGGUGAAAUGCGUAGAUAUCGAGAGGAACACCUGCGGCGAAGGCGGGUUGCUGGGCUGAUACUGACGCUGAGGCGCGAAAGCUAGGGGAGCGAACGGG
rnacentral:rRNA from 1 species